GACAGAGGGGGCAAGCGUUGUUCGGAUUCAUUGGGCGUAAAGGGCGCGUAGGCGGCGGGGUAAGUCUGGUGUGAAAUCUCGGAGCUCAACUCCGAAAUUGCACUGGAUACUGCUCUGCUUGAGGGUUGGAGAGGAGAUCGGAAUUCACGGUGUAGCAGUGAAAUGCGUAGAUAUCGUGAGGAAGACCAGUGGCGAAGGCGGAUCUCUGGACAAAUCCUGACGCUGAGGCGCGAAGGCUAGGGGAGCAAACGGG
rnacentral:rRNA from 1 species